UACGUAGGGUGCGAGCGUUGUCCGGAAUUAUUGGGCGUAAAGAGCUCGUAGGCGGUCUGUCGCGUCGGAUGUGAAAACUCGGGGCUCAACCCCGAGCCUGCAUUCGAUACGGGCAGACUAGAGUUCGGUAGGGGAGACUGGAAUUCCUGGUGUAGCGGUGAAAUGCGCAGAUAUCGUAAGGAAGACCAGUGGCGAAGGCGGGUCUCUGGACAGUUCCUGACGCUGAGGCACGAAGGUCAGGGGAGCAAACGGG
rnacentral:rRNA from 1 species